CCGAUGGUAAAUGACACCAAGAUGAACAUCUCUCUGCGCCUGUCUUUGCCUUUGCCAGAGCUGGACUGUGUCCUUGGCCACAGUGGGGUGAUGGGGGCAGUACUCACCGCUGAUGACCUCCUGCCGCUUCACCUGGCUCUUGGGCAGGCUGUGCAGGGUGUCUGGGGGGACGAGUUCCCGCCAGCCGGGAGGCUCUUCUGGUUCAAGCUCCAGUCCCGACCGCCCCGGCUCCCCCUCAUCUCCAGGCUCGGGGCUGUGGACAGAGGCCUUGUUAGGGCCCCAGCUUGGGCCAUCCCAAGAAGCAGCCUUCAGCCUCUUAGAGCGUUCAACCCCGGUCAGUGGCCUUGGCAUUCGAUGCCCGCAGGGUGGCCCGUGCAGCAGACCAGGUCUCUAGAUCGGACCACACUAGAGUUCCCAGAUCUCUAGAAGCAUUCUACCCCCUCCUCCUCCAAGGUCUGUGACCACAGUUGGCCUCAAUGACCUCGGUCUCCAACGCCCAUUCCUCUGUGACUCUGACAACAAUCCCUCCCUGAUUCUCCAGGCUGCCUUAGUGGAUGGGGGAAGGGAGAGGGUUGACAUACGUGGCUCGUCGGGCAGGGCCAAGCACUGCCGUGGCGGAACUGGGGUCCAUGUCCACGUCGCUCCGGGAGCGGCCCCCACCCCGGCCCUUAGCCCCGAGGCUGCCCCGGGAAGGCCGGCGGCGGUCACUCACCCGCAGGCUCUCUGAGCGCCCCAGACGCCCUGAUAGCCUGGACCCCGAGGCCAAGGACAGAGUCAGGCAGAUGCCGGGGACAGAGACAAGGAGAGACCAAGACAAGAACAGAGACGAAGAGAAACCAGGACAGGGACAGAGACGGGGAGAGACCAGGGCAGGGACAGAGGUGGGGAGAGGCCAGGGCAGGGACAGAAAUUGGGGAGAGACGAGGACAGGGACAGAGACGGGGAGAGACCAGGACAGGGACAGAGACAGGGAGAGACCAGGACCGGGGCAAGGGUGACCAGGACAGGGAUCAAACAUGCAACAGAAGAGAGGAGAGAGUCAGAGGAGUGGUGGGAUUUUAGGGGCACUGGGGUAGUGGGGGGUCUUGGGGGAGGGGGGAUACUGAAAUUUGAUGGGGGAAGGGAUGGGGAACCCAGGAUGGAGCAUAGGACUGACCCCCUCCCUUCCCUGAGGCAGGGGGAUGGCAACAGAGGGGGUGUUAUGGGGUGGGGAGGAUUUCCAUACUUAGCUCUUCAACUGGGAGGGUGAUGUCCCCACCCACCCCUCACAGGGAGUGAAGGGGAGGGAGUGGCCAUGGGGAGAGGGGAGGGGCUGGGAGAAAUGGGGGAGGGGCUAGCCCUUCCCCCACCCAGGGCCCAGGCACCCACCUCUUCCACCUUCUGGGGAGAGAGGGGCACAGGGUCAGAGGUGGGCCCAGAUGGAACCUGACCCACCUCCCCGCACCCACCAAAGGGUCCCCAAAGCAGCGGCACAAGGACGGGCAGGAGGCAGAGCCUGCCCCCCAGCUGUAAGGGGGACAGGGCCCCCAGGGCACAGAGCAGAGGGGUGGGGGGUUGAGGGACGGGCACCAGGAGGCAGGAGCGAGGCGGGGGGUGGGGGGCAGGGGGCAGGGGGGCUUGAAAGAGAAGGGGAGGAAGGGCUGAAAAAAUGAAAAGUGGCAGGGAGAUCGGAGGGGGAUGGAAGGUGGGGAAAGAAAACCCAGGUGAGAGAGGAGUGGGGAGGAAAGAGAGGAGGGGGAAGGUGAGAGAGGAGGGGGGAGGUGAGAGAGGAAGAGGGAGGUGAGAGAAGAGAGGGGAGGUGAGAGAGGAGCGGGGAGGUGAGAGGAGGGGGUAGGUGAGAGAGGAGGGGGGAGGUGAGAGAGGAGGGGGAAAUAAAG
rnacentral:lncRNA from 1 species